UUUCAAAUGGAGAUCAGCUGGCCCGAGUGAUCGAUUACCCCGGAUGAAAAGACUCAGAGCUGUGGACUCGUAGCAGGAAGAGCCCUUAGAAACAGGGAACUGCUCUUUUUACAGUUAGGGAUACUGAAGACCAGAGAGGUGCUUGCUUGCCCAAAGUCGCGCAGCUUAGCUUGAAAGUAAAUUAUGGAAGAAUUCUGGUGGGCUUUGGGGUCAGACAGCGUUGAGUUCAAGUCCUGGAUCUAUCACUAUAUUCCUUGGGAGCAGAAGAGAUGAGACACAGAGAGCAGAACACCAUGUGGAGACACAGACACAGAGAGAAGAUGGCCAGGAGGCAGAAAUUGGAGUCACGCUGCCGGGAGCCGGGGAACACCUGGGGCUACCAGAAGAUGGAAGAGCUCCUGUUAGCAAUCUCCAUGCUAUCCAAGUGGCCCGGACUUGUGAUUUCCAGAAGAGUGUAAUGCUGGAAGAUUCUCCUGACACAUCCCAGAAGGAAGCAUUAUUCUCACAGUGUUAUCUUUGCUGCUCUCUGGGUUUGCUCAUCCAGGGAGAUUGUGGCAGCCAUUGUGAUUAUUCUGUUUGUCUGUCUGUCUCUCUCUCAUGCACACACCCCCGCCCCCUCACAUUAGCUUCAUUUCCUAGUGUAACUAGAAGCCCGCACAGGCUCAGCUACAGAGACAGAAAAUCCUGUGGAAGCACGUUGGGCUCAUUAAUAAGGGAAAGUGACUGGUGACUAUAACUUCUAUAGCUUUUAUGAAUUACUAGAAGUGAAUUUUUGGGAAAUUACUAAAUAAUACAUGUUCAACAUAGAAAAAUUAGAAAAGAUAGAUAAGCAAAAAAAAAAAAAAGGGAAUUCACU
rnacentral:lncRNA from 1 species